rnacentral:rRNA from 1 species
GACGAACGCUGGCGGCGUGCUUAACACAUGCAAGUCUACGAGAAAGAGGUAGCAAUAUCUUGAUUAAAGUGGCGCACGGGUGAGUAACACGUAAGCAAUCUACCCUUAGAUCUGGAAUAACUUCGAGAAAUCGUGGCUAAUACCGGGUAAUGCAGCGGCACCGCAUGGUGAUGUUGUUAAAGUUUCGAUGUCUAAGGAUGAGCUUGCGUCUGAUUAGCUAGUUGGUGAGGUAACGGCCCACCAAGGCAACGAUCAGUAGCUGGUCUGAGAGGAUGAUCAGCCACACUGGAACUGAGACACGGUCCAGACUCCUACGGGAGGCAGCAGUGAGGAAUAUUGGGCAAUGCCCGCAAGGGUGACCCAGCAACGCCGCGUGGAGGAUGAACGCCGUAAGGUUGUAAACUCCUGUUAGAGGGGACGAAUGAUUCCGAUUGUAUCGGAAGUUGACUGUACCCUCAGAGAAAGCCCCGGCUAACUACGUGCCAGCCGCCGCCGUAACAC